AGGACGAACGCUGGCGGCGUGCUUAACACAUGCAAGUGGAGCGACGAACCAGGGCUUGCCCUGGGGCAGAGCCGCGAACGGGUGAGUAACACGUGGGUUACCUGCCUUGAUGACCGGGACAACCCGAGGAAAACUCGGGCUAAUACCGGAUGUGCCCGCAAGGGGAAAGGAAGCUUCGGCCUCCGCAUCAAGAUGGGCCCGCGGCCCAUUAGCUUGUUGGUGAGGUAACGGCUCACCAAGGCUUCGAUGGGUAGCUGGUCUGAGAGGACGAUCAGCCACACUGGGACUGAGACACGGCCCAGACUCCUACGGGAGGCAGCAGUGGGGAAUUUUGCGCAAUGGGGGAAACCCUGACGCAGCAACGCCGCGUGGAGGAUGAAGCCCCGUUGGGGCGUAAACUCCUUUCGACCAAGACGAUAAUGACGGUACUGGUGGAAGAAGCACCGGCUAACUCUGUGCCAGCAGCCGC
rnacentral:rRNA from 1 species